rnacentral:rRNA from 1 species
UACAGAGAUGGCAAGCGUUGUUCGGAAUUACUGGGCGUAAAGGGCGCGUAGGCGGUUCGUUAAGUCCUGUGUGAAAUCCCCCGGCUCAACUGGGGAACUGCACAGGAAACUAGCGGGCUUGAGUUCGGGAGAGGGAAGCGGAAUUCCGGGUGUAGCGGUGAAAUGCGUAGAUAUCCGGAGGAACACCGGUGGCGAAGGCGGCUUCCUGGACCGACACUGACGCUGAGGCGCGAAAGCUAGGGGAGCAAACGGG